AAUGAGCGAAAGCUUGACGGAGCGACGCCGCGUGAGUGAUGAAGGCCUUCGGGUCGUAAAGCUCUGUCCUCAGGGAAGAACAUCUUAGUAGUGAAUAACUGCUAGGCUUGACGGUACCUGAGAAGAAAGCUCCGGCUAACUACGUGCCAGCAGCCGCGGUAAUACGUAGGGAGCAAGCGUUGUCCGGAAUCAUUGGGCGUAAAGGGUGCGCAGGCGGUCUGGCAAGUCAAGUGUGAAAUGUAUCAGCUUAACUGAUACACUGCGCUUGAAACUGUCAGACUUGAGGGCAAGAGAAGAGAGCGGAAUUCCUAGUGUAGCGGUGAAAUGCGUAGAUAUUAGGAAGAACACCAGUGGCGAAAGCGGCUCUCUAGCUUGACCCUGACGCUGAGGCACGAAAGCUAGGGGAGCGAACGGGAUUAGAUACCCCGGUAGUCCUAGCUGUAAACGCUGGAUACUAGGUGUUGGGGGUUCAACUCCCUCAGUGCUGCAGUUAACGCGUUAAGUAUCCCGCCUGGGGAUUACGACCGCAAGGUUGAAACUCAAAGGAAUUGACGGGGGCCUGCACAAGCGGCGGAGCAUGUGGUUUAAUUCGAAGCAACGCGCAGAACCUUACCAGGGCUUGACAUCCCGUGACUAUCUGUCAACAGCAGAAUCUGGUCCUUUGGAUCACACGGUGACAGGUGGUGCAUGGCUGUCGUCAGCUCGUGUCGUGAGAUGUUGGGUUAAGUCCCGCAACGAGCGUAACCCCUAUCCUUAGUUGCCAGCAUUAAGUUGGGGACUCUAGGGAGACUGCCAGUCAAAAACUGGAGGAAGGUGGGGAUGACGUCAAGUCAUCAUGCCCCUUAUGCUCUGGGCUACACACGUGCUACAAUGGCCUGUACAGAGGGUAGCUACACUGCAAAGUGGAGCCAAUCCUCAAAACAGGUCCCAGUUCGGAUUGCUGGCUGCAACUCGCCUGCAUGAAGCUGGAGUCGCUAGUAAUCGCGGAUCAGAAUGCCGCGGUGAAUUCGUUCCCAGGCCUUGUACACACCGCCCGUCACACCACCCGAGUUGGAUGCACCAGAAGUCGUCUACGGGCGCCGAAGGUGUGUCCGAUAAGGGGGGUG
rnacentral:rRNA from 1 species